rnacentral:rRNA from 1 species
AUUGUAGUCUGCAACUCGACUACAUGAAGCUGGAAUCGCUAGUAAUCGCGGAUCAGAAUGCCGCGGUGAAUACGUUCCCGGGUCUUGUACACACCGCCCGUCACACCAUGGGGGGUUGGAAAUGCCCGAAGUCAGUGGCCCAACCGGAAGGGGGGGAGCUGCCGAAGGCAGGUUCGAUGACUGGGGUGAAGUCGUAACAAGGUACC